rnacentral:rRNA from 1 species
CAGGGGAUUUGUUGGACGGCGAGCGGCGGACGGGUGAGUAAUGCUUGGGAAUAUGCCUUAUGGUGGGGGACAACAGUUGGAAACGACUGCUAAUACCGCAUGAUGUCUACGGACCAAAGUGGGGGACCUUCGGGCCUCACGCCAUAAGAUUAGCCCAAGUGGGAUUAGCUAGUUGGUGAGGUAAUGGCUCACCAAGGCGACGAUCCCUAGCUGGUUUGAGAGGAUGAUCAGCCACACUGGGACUGAGACACGGCCCAGACUCCUACGGGAGGCAGCAGUGGGGAAUAUUGCACAAUGGGCGCAAGCCUGAUGCAGCCAUGCCGCGUGUGUGAAGAAGGCCUUCGGGUUGUAAAGCACUUCCAGUAAGGAGGAAAGGUUAGUCACUAAUAUUGGCUAGCUGUGACGUUACUUACAGAAGAAGCACCGGCUAACUCCGUGCCAGCAGCCGCGGUAAUACGGAGGGUGCGAGCGUUAAUCGGAAUUACUGGGCGUAAAGCGUACGCAGGCGGUUUGUUAAGCGAGAUGUGAAAGCCCCGGGCUCAACCUGGGAACUGCAUUUCGAACUGGCAAACUAGAGUGUGAUAGAGGGUGGUAGAAUUUCAGGUGUAGCGGUGAAAUGCGUAGAGAUCUGAAGGAAUACCGAUGGCGAAGGCAGCCACCUGGGUCAACACUGACGCUCAUGUACGAAAGCGUGGGGGAGCAAACAGGAUUAGAUACCCUGGUA